rnacentral:rRNA from 1 species
GGGUUGUGAGGUUAAGCGACUAAGCGUACACGGUGGAUGCCCUGGCAGUCAGAGGCGAUGAAGGACGUGCUAAUCUGCGAUAAGCGUCGGUAAGGUGAUAUGAACCGUUAUAACCGGCGAUUUCCGAAUGGGGAAACCCAGUGUGUUUCGACACACUAUCAUUAACUGAAUCCAUAGGUUAAUGAGGCGAACCGGGGGAACUGAAACAUCUAAGUACCCCGAGGAAAAGAAAUCAACCGAGAUUCCCCCAGUAGCGGCGAGCGAACGGGGAGCAGCCCAGAGCCUGAAUCAGUGUGUGUGUUAGUGGAAGCGUCUGGAAAGGCGCGCGAUACAGGGUGACAGCCCCGUACACAAAAAUGCACAUGCUGUGAGCUCGAUGAGUAGGGCGGGACACGUGGUAUCCUGUCUGAAUAUGGGGGGACCAUCCUCCAAGGCUAAAUACUCCUGACUGACCGAUAGUGAACCAGUACCGUGAGGGAAAGGCGAAAAGAACCCCGGCGAGGGGAGUGAAAAAGAACCUGAAACCGUGUACGUACAAGCAGUGGGAGCACGCUUAGGCGUGUGACUGCGUACCUUUUGUAUAAUGGGUCAGCGACUUAUAUUCUGUAGCAAGGUUAACCGAAUAGGGGAGCCGAAGGGAAACCGAGUCUUAACUGGGCGUUAAGUUGCAGGGUAUAGACCCGAAACCCGGUGAUCUAGCCAUGGGCAGGUUGAAGGUUGGGUAACACUAACUGGAGGACCGAACCGACUAAUGUUGAAAAAUUAGCGGAUGACUUGUGGCUGGGGGUGAAAGGCCAAUCAAACCGGGAGAUAGCUGGUUCUCCCCGAAAGCUAUUUAGGUAGCGCCUCGUGAAUUCAUCUCCGGGGGUAGAGCACUGUUUCGGCAAGGGGGUCAUCCCGACUUACCAACCCGAUGCAAACUGCGAAUACCGGAGAAUGUUAUCACGGGAGACACACGGCGGGUGCUAACGUCCGUCGUGAAGAGGGAAACAACCCAGACCGCCAGCUAAGGUCCCAAAGUCAUGGUUAAGUGGGAAACGAUGUGGGAAGGCCCAGACAGCCAGGAUGUUGGCUUAGAAGCAGCCAUCAUUUAAAGAAAGCGUAAUAGCUCACUGGUCGAGUCGGCCUGCGCGGAAGAUGUAACGGGGCUAAACCAUGCACCGAAGCUGCGGCAGCGACGCUUAUGCGUUGUUGGGUAGGGGAGCGUUCUGUAAGCCUGUGAAGGUGUGCUGUGAGGCAUGCUGGAGGUAUCAGAAGUGCGAAUGCUGACAUAAGUAACGAUAAAGCGGGUGAAAAGCCCGCUCGCCGGAAGACCAAGGGUUCCUGUCCAACGUUAAUCGGGGCAGGGUGAGUCGACCCCUAAGGCGAGGCCGAAAGGCGUAGUCGAUGGGAAACAGGUUAAUAUUCCUGUACUUGGUGUUACUGCGAAGGG